rnacentral:rRNA from 1 species
ACAACUUUCAGCAACGGAUCUCUUGGCUCUCGCAUCGAUGAAGAACGCAGCGAAAUGCGAUAAGUAAUGUGAAUUGCAGAAUUCAGUGAAUCAUCGAAUCUUUGAACGCACCUUGCGCCCUUUGGCUAUUCUGAAGGGCAUGCCUGUUUGAGUAUCAU